rnacentral:rRNA from 1 species
CUGCUGCCUUCCGUAGGAGUUUGGUCCGUGUCUCAGUACCAAUGUGGGGGGGUUAACCUCUCAGUCCCCCUAUGUAUCGUCGCCUUGGUGAGCCGUUACCUCACCAACUAGCUAAUACAACGCAUGCCCAUCUUUUACCACCGGAGUUUUCAACCCAAAACGAUGCCGUCUCAGAUAUUAUGGGGAAUUAGUACCAACUUCUCAGUGUUAUGCCCCUGUAAAAGGUAGGUUGCAUACGCGUUACGCACCCGUGCGCCGGUCGCCAUCA